rnacentral:rRNA from 1 species
ACGAACGCUGGCGGCAUGCCUAACACAUGCAAGUCGAACGAGACCUUCGGGUCUAGUGGCGCACGGGUGCGUAACGCGUGGGAACCUGCCCUUAGGUUCGGAAUAACUCCCCGAAAGGGGUGCUAAUACCGGAUAAUGUCUUCGGACCAAAGAUUUAUCGCCUUUGGAUGGGCCCGCGUUGGAUUAGCUAGUUGGUAGGGUAAAAGCCUACCAAGGCGACGAUCCAUAGCUGGUCUGAGAGGAUGAUCAGCCACACUGGGACUGAGACACGGCCCAGACUCCUACGGGAGGCAGCAGUGGGGAAUAUUGGACAAUGGGCGAAAGCCUGAUCCAGCAAUGCCGCGUGAGUGAUGAAGGCCUUAGGGUUGUAAAGCUCUUUUACCCGGGAUGAUAAUGACAGUACCGGGAGAAUAAGCUCCGGCUAACUACGUG